GUCGAGUGUUUGUGUGUGUGUGUUGGUGCUCUUGGACAGAUCACUGGACAAUAUGGAGGUGCCACUAGGCUCCAGGAUGCAGUGCAUCGAGAUCCUGACCAGGUCUAGCUAAAAAUGGAUGCUAUGGUCACUCGAAAAACCAGUUGACCGGAAGUUCCAGAGAAUGAUUGUGUGUGUGUGUGUGUUAGUGCUUUUGGAAAGAUCACAGGAUAUGUAUGGAGAGAUAUGGAGGUGUUGCAAUGGUUACUGGAUAUAAAUGCAGAUUUCAUCGCUCCAGAGCAUCGAAAACUUCUUCAGGAAGUGCGUGAUGUACUUGCGGCUGCAGUUCGACCAGCAAACCUGCAGGGUGUCCGCCCCGAAGGUGGGCGUCAUGAUGUGCACAAUGGGACCCACUCGCGGAUGGCAGCCAAUCUUCGCGGUGUCGUGGAACAUGCCAAAGCUGUGGGGAAAAUAAAUUGGUGAAAUAUGUGGGUACAUGUUUAGUUGAACAAAAGACGAAGAGUUGAAGAGCCGAGCGUAGAUACAAAGUUGCAAAUUGUCGUUGGGGAAGUCCCCCUCAUUCCAUUUCCCCCCAUGUCACUCUAAAACCUGAAUAUUUUAAUAGAAUAAUAGCCAAUUCGGAGCAAAUCGUUGCUAACUCACACAAGCAGAUAUAUCCGACGAAAAGCACAUAAACAGCACCCAGCAAAACAAAAACAAACCACCUGUUUCUGCCGCCCAGGGAGAUUCCGAUUCCGGUCGGCUUACACAACCCAUCGCCACUAUAUCUUGGCCGAUCGGAGGGCUCGGACCCCGGGAGGGGGUGCGCUGAGUCAAUCGCGGACGGAGCACGCUAGACUGACUGACGGCCCCUGGGAGGCACUCGGAGAAAAAAGGUGUCAGUAAUUUAUGGCCAAUUUAUAUGGGUUUUUUCCCAGUGUAUGCUGGCACAGAAGGCGGCCCACAGCCAGCCACUUGGAAACUGGAAAACCUGGCAGCCUGGCGCGAUCAUCGAGCGACCGACCCAAUCCAAGCCAAGCCAAGCCAAUCCGAUCGGAUCCAUUCCGAUCCAAAUCCGCAGCUCCCCCGAUAAGCCAGCGAAAACCGGACCCGGCUGUCGAAUGGGUGUGAGGUGGAACGAGUCGGAGUGUCUGGGUGUGCCGAUCGACUUCAAUGCUGUGAUCACCGUGAAUCACUCGGUUCCAGUGACUCCGAGAUCACCGUGACUUGGAGGCCACCUCUGCCGUUCUCUUGGUGUCUCCAGCAUUGCGCUCGACUAAUUGAGUUUGAAUCGAGCAGGAAGCAGGGGCACCGCGAGGUGAUCCGAUCGCGAGUGUAUCUGAAUGCAAAUCUGAGUAUGCCAUAUGCAACGCAGGCGAUCAUUGUCGCAGAAAAGCACACGCAGGUGUCAAAGCAUCCGUCGCGUCCACUUAGCCGCCUCGCUGGAGCUGGAAACCAGGUAAACCGUGCUCUUGGUUGUAUCUCGUAGUCACUUUUUUUUUUUGUUUGUAUCUCUCUGGCGAUUCAUUCAUUAAACGAAUUGGGCUGGCCAUAAAUCUUGGCCAGUGGAUCGGACUGGGGAUGGGGAUCGGAAAUCGGAUUGGAUCGCAGCGCGUGGGGCAAGUGUGUUCGUGUGUUUGUUGCUGUUGGCCAACGUCUGGCGCCGCAGGUGGCAAUGCAAAUCGCUGCCGGCUACCUGUCUACGUUGCCCGGCCCAACACUUAAACUUCAUUCAAAGAUCACAACUGGUCGGGCAGAGUUGAGAAAAAACGAGUAAUUUAAAUACAGAAUUUAUCUAGUUGAGUUCCAAAAGCAUGCUUUUAUAUAAUUUCAGUUAAGAUGGUUUU